UACGUAGGUGGCGAGCGUUGUCCGGAUUUACUGGGCGUAAAGGGAGCGUAGGCGGACUUUUAAGUGAGAUGUGAAAUACCCGGGCUCAACUUGGGUGCUGCAUGUCAAACUGGAAGUCUAGAGUGCAGGAGAGGAGAAUGGAAUUCCUAGUGUAGCGGUGAAAUGCGUAGAGAUUAGGAAGAACACCAGUGGCGAAGGCGAUUCUCUGGACUGUAACUGACGCUGAGGCUCGAAAGCGUGGGGAGCAAACAGGAUUAGAUACCCGU
rnacentral:rRNA from 1 species